rnacentral:misc_RNA from 1 species
CAUUGGAUCAAUGUCAGUAUCACUGUCAACAUUGCUUCCCUCAUCUGGUCGAAUAAACAUCUCAGUAUCCACAUAACUAUGUCCAUCAGCAUCUACAUCAGAGUCCCCUCCAUAUGCACUAAAAGAAAUGGCAUCACUCUCACCAUGAUAAACCCUUGACCAACUGACACUGGGAGUUGUUUCACUCUCACCAUAAAGCGAAUCCAAAUUAUCAAAACCCUCACUUUCAGUGUCCGAGAGAACCCGCCGCCAUCUUCUAGAACCAGUUGGUGUUGUAUGGGAGCUUGUGUGCUGCAAUAGUCUAACAGAAGUAUCUCCAUCUACAGAUGGAUUAUCAUGACCAGACGCAAUGGACUGGUUUUGCCUCGCCUGAUUAAUCAUAUGUGAUAACUGUUGUGAAA